UUUAUUAGAUACAAAACCAAUGCGUCUUCGGACGGUUUUUUGGUGAUUCAUAAUAACUUAUCGGACCGCAUGCCUUCGGGCGGCGGCAGGUCAUUCAAAUUUCUGCCCUAUCAGCUUUCGAUGGUAGUGUAGUGGACUACCAUGGCUUUAACGGGUGACGGAGAAUUAGGGUUCGAUUCCGGAGAGGGAGCCUGAGAAACGGCUACCACAUCCAAGGAAGGCAGCAGGCGCGCAAAUUACCCAAUCCCGACACGGGGAGGUAGUGACAAGAAAUAACGAUAGCCGGACUCAUAAGAGUCUGCUAAUCGGAAUGAGUACAAUUUAAAAACCUUAACGAUGAACAAUUGGAGGGCAAGUCUGGUGCCAGCAGCCGCGGUAAUACCAGCUCCAAUAGCGUAUAUUAACGUUGUUGCAGUUAAAAAGCUCGUAGUUGGAUUUCUGACCUCGAGUGCGUGCUCACGUCGACUAAAAUUGGUCGGCGGUAGAGUUUUACGCACCGGUCACCUUGUAAGCGCGUGGCGCUGCACUUAAUUGUGUCGGUGCCAAUGCUCUUACUCGUUUACUUUGAACAAAUUA
rnacentral:rRNA from 1 species